rnacentral:rRNA from 1 species
GAUGAACGCUGGCGGCGUGCCUAAUACAUGCAAGUCGAGCGAACGGACGAGAAGCUUGCUUUUCUGAUGUUAGCGGCGGACGGGUGAGUAACACGUGGAUAACCUACCUAUAAGACUGGGAUAACUUCGGGAAACCGGAGCUAAUACCGGAUAAUAUUUUGAACCGCAUGGUUCAAAAGUGAAAGACGGUCUUGCUGUCACUUAUAGAUGGAUCCGCGCUGCAUUAGCUAGUUGGUAAGGUAACGGCUUACCAAGGCAACGAUGCAUAGCCGACCUGAGAGGGGGAUCGGCCACCCUGGAACUGAGACACGGUCCAGACUACUACGGGAGGCAGCAGUAGGGAAUCUUACGCAAUGGGCGAAAGCCUGACGGAGCAACGCCGCGUGAGUGAUGAAGGUCUUCGGAUCGUAAAACUCUGUUAUUAGGGAAGAACAUAUGUGUAAGUAACUGUGCACAUCUUGACGGUACCUAAUCAGAAAGCCACGGCUAACUACGUG